rnacentral:rRNA from 1 species
AUUCCAGCUCCAGUAGCGUAUAUUAAUGUUGUUGCAGUUAAAAAGCUCGUAGUUGGAUUUCUGACUUGACGCGCCUGGCCCGCCUUGCGUUUCGCGGGUGAGUGCCGGAGCGCGUCGGUCAUCCUUCUAGAGAACGGCGCUACCCUUCACUGGGUCGGCGUCGCAAUCUAGAUCUUUUACUUUGAAAAAAUUAGAGUGUUCAAGGCAGGCUCGCGCUGUGAAUACAUUAGCAUGGAAUAAUAAUCUAGGACUUUGUUCCUAUUUUGUUGGUUUCUAGGAAUUAAGUAAUGAUUGAUAGGGAUAGUUGGGGGUGCUAGUAUUCAGCGGCCAGAGGUGAAAUUCUUGGAUUCGCUGAAGACUAACUUAUGCGAAAGCAUUCACCAAGGAUGUCUUCAUUA